rnacentral:piRNA from 1 species
UAUCCAUAUAAUGUUAAAAGG